AAAUGAAUAGACGGGGACCCGCACAAGCAGCGGAGCAUGUGGUUUAAUUCGAAGCAACGCGAAGAACCUUACCAGGACUUGACAUCCCUCUGCCAGACCCGUAACGGGGUUUUUCCUUCGGGACAGAGGAGACAGGUGGUGCAUGGUUGUCGUCAGCUCGUGUCGUGAGAUGUUGGGUUAAGUCCCGCAACGAGCGCAACCCUUGUCAUUAGUUACCAGCACGUAAAGGUGGGGACUCUAGUGAGACUGCCGGGGAUAACUCGGAGGAAGGUGGGGAUGACGUCAAAUCAUCAUGCCCCUUAUGUUCUGGGCUACACACGUGCUACAAUGGUCGGUACAAAGAGCAGCGAAUUCGUGAGGAGGAGCCAAACUCAAAAACCGAUCCCAGUUCGGAUUGCAGGCUGCAACUCGCCUGCAUGAAGUCGGAGUUGCUAGUAAUCGCAGAUCAGCAUGCUGCGGUGAAUGCGUUCCCGGGUCUUGUACACACCGCCCGU
rnacentral:rRNA from 1 species